GGCGGCAGGCCUAAUACAUGCAAGUCGUACGAGAAAGCCGGCUUCGGCUGGUGAGUAAAGUGGCGCACGGGUGAGUAACGCGUGGAUAAUCUGCCCUUAAGUGUGGAAUAACGUACCGAAAGGUGCGCUAAUACCGCAUAAUGCCUGGCAACACAAGUUGUCCGGCCAAAGAAGGCCUCUGUUUACAAGCUUUCGCUUCAGGAUGAGUCCGCGUACCAUUAGCUUGUUGGUGGGGUAAUGGCCUACCAAGGCUGCGAUGGUUAGCUGGUCUGAGAGGAUGAUCAGCCACACUGGAACUGAGACACGGUCCAGACUCCUACGGGAGGCAGCAGUGAGGAAUAUUGCGCAAUGGGGGCAACCCUGACGCAGCAACGCCGCGUGAGUGAGGAAGGUUUUCGGACCGUAAAGCUCUGUCGAGUGGGAAGAAGUGUAUCAUGGCUAAUAUCCGUGAUAUUUGACGGUACCGCUAGAGGAAGCACCGGCUAACUCCGUG
rnacentral:rRNA from 1 species